UACGGGGGGAGCAAGCGUUGUUCGGAUUUACUGGGCGUAAAGGGCGCGUAGGCGGCCACCGCAAGUCAAUUGUGAAAUCUCCGGGCUUAACUCGGAAAGGUCAACUGAUACUGCGGGGCUAGAGUGCGGAAGGGGCAACUGGAAUUCUCGGUGUAGCGGUGAAAUGCGUAGAUAUCGGAAGGAACAUCAGUGGCGAAGGCGGCUCCCUGGCCUAGAACUGACGCUGAGGCGCGAAAGCAUGGGGAGCAAACAGG
rnacentral:rRNA from 1 species